GACGAACGCUGGCGGCGUGCCUAAUACAUGCAAGUCGAGCGAAUGGAUUAAGAGCUUGCUCUUAUGAAGUUAGCGGCGGACGGGUGAGUAACACGUGGGUAACCUGCCCAUAAGACUGGGAUAACUCCGGGAAACCGGGGCUAAUACCGGAUAACAUUUUGAGCCGCAUGGUUCGAAAUUGAAAGGCGGCUUCGGCUGUCACUUAUGGAUGGACCCGCGUCGCAUUAGCUAGUUGGUGAGGUAACGGCUCACCAAGGCAACGAUGCGUAGCCGACCUGAGAGGGUGAUCGGCCACACUGGGACUGAGGCACGGCCCAGACUCCUACGGGAGGCAGCAGUAGGGAAUCUUCCGCAAUGGACGAAAGUCUGACGGAGCAACGCCGCGUGAGUGAUGAAGGCUUUCGGGUCGUAAAACUCUGUUGUUAGGGAAGAACAAGUGCUAGUUGAAUAAGCUGGCACCUUGACGGUACCUAACCAGAAAGCCACGGCUAACUACGUGCCAGCCGCCGCCGUGA
rnacentral:rRNA from 1 species